AGGUUUAAGUAAAAUUUCUUUUAUUAUUAAAUAUUUUAUUUUAUUUUAUUUGACGCAUUCGUUGAUUCGGUUGUGGUUCGAUUCGUAUUUGGUUUGUAUUUUAAUUUUUAAAAGAAAAAAAAACAAAAAAAAAACAAAAGUGAAUAUAUAUUGCAUAUAAAUGAGCCCAUGCAUACACCUACUACAUUAUUUCUCACGUGAUUAUUAUGCAUGGAAAGCCCAUCAUAUAUUGUUCAUGGCCAUAAUAUUUUUAGAAAGCCCACCUUCUUCAUUAUGAAGUAGAAACUUACAGUUUGUAUAGCAGUAUGCGUCCUUUUUUUUUUCACUCGACUUCUUAGUUAAACCCUAUUCUUUUCAUUCGCUUAUUCUGAAACCCUAGCCGUCUCUCCCUAAACAUCCAAGAUAACCAGAAAUCACAUCAUUCAUCUUUCAUUCGCUUCAAAUCCGGUAAGUUCACGUCACUUCCUUCGUUAGUUUAGUUCGAUAUCGUUCUCGCCGACAAAUAACUUGUGUCAUUCAUUAUUCUAGUAUCGUUCUGAGAUCUUUGCCUUCGCCACAUCCAUUCUCGUCAUCCUCUAACCGCUGGACGUUAUUCAUCUCGUUUGACCCGUCGACUGCUCGUGCUUCGGAGUCUACGCAGGGUUAGCUGUUUGCCAAGAUCACGUGGAUAAGCAAGCAGUUUAUGAUUUGAAAGCUGGUCCACUCCGAUUCUUUUGAUUCUUCGGAGGUUUUUAUGUUAUUAAACUAGUUUCUGUUUUCGAACUCUUAGACCGCAGUAGAACUAGUUUAUUUAUUUCAUUUGAUAUUACACUUUGUAAUUGUCGAUAUAUUCGAUUAUUUAUAUUUGGCAUGAUUACUCUGGAUUACGACAUUGUUAUAUUUAAGCCAUGCAGGGGAAUAUUUAAGAUA